GUUGGACCAAACAGGCCUGCAACGCGUUAUUUCAGACUGAGCUCCGGACCAUUUGGGAAGAAAUGGAAUGGACUACAAAUAUGGAUACUACUUUUUGUCUGAGAUGAACGGUAAUGAAGCAACAACUGGACAUGGUGGACAUCCUUUAUUCUUUCUAAUCACUUGGAAAGAGGAUAAAUCCUAUAAGAGAUUCAGCUCAACAUGCCAGGCUAUACCGGAGGAGGAGCUGUCCCAUCCCAUCCAGUGCGAGACCAACCCCCAUGGUUUAAAUGGAGUCAUCGCUGUUGAUGAUAAAAUUUAUCCUCUAACCUUCCUUAGAGAUCCGGCUCCAUCUGCUGAGGACUCGCCUGGUGCAGGUGGAGGAUCGGAGCAGCUAUCUAGUGUCCAGUGUGAUUCACUCCAUCACCAGAACGAUGCAGUGUUCGAACCUCAUGCAUACCCGGCGCCUGGUGGGAGAUGGAACACCCAGAUGACUGAUGUUCCCUUCAACCUGAGGGAAAUCACUCGUAGUGUGACUGCAGCAAGGUGCAUGCAGAGUCCAUGGAGGGAGAUAGUGUUCACUGUUGGGACUGCCCUGCUCUAUGUAUGUUGCAUGUGUAAAAUCAUGU
ensembl:lncRNA